UAACGCCUUACGAGAUUGCAAUGGGUACAAUUUAAACCACUUAACGAGGAACAAUUGGAGGGCAAGUCUGGUGCCAGCAGCCGCGGUAAUUCCAGCUCCAAUAGCGUAUAUUAAAGUUGUUGCAGUUAAAAAGCUCGUAGUUGAACUUCUGGUAGUCUCGACGGCGGCAUUGUCGUAGUCUGGGGCUGUCAUCCGCUUGAGAACCACGUACGUCCUUGAGUGGUCGGCGUGGGAAUCAGGCCUUUUACUGUGAAAAAAUCAGAGUGUUCAAGGCAGGCAAGCGCCCUGAAUACACAAGCAUGGAAUAAUAGAAUAGGACUAGUGUCUAUUUUGUUGGUUAUUGGACAUUAGUAAUGAUUAAUAGGGACAGUUGGGGGCAUUAGUAUUUAAUAGUCAGAGGUGAAAUUCUUGGAUUUAUUAAAGGCUAACUUAUGCGAAAGCAUUUGCCAAGG
rnacentral:rRNA from 1 species